rnacentral:lncRNA from 1 species
ACUAGACUGUUGUAAUUACUCGUCACAUCAUCUUCACCAGGAUACUCCGGAACUGAGCGGCCCUCCCGCCGGCAUGGGACCGAAGCAUUACAAAUCACCACCACAUCUCCACCAUCCGCCUCCACUGAAUCAUCAGCCACCACACGGUCACCAACACGGACCGCCCGUCGUGCCCGUUCCCAAGUCCGAGUUCGACGAUAACAGGCGUUGUGAUGGCGACGGAACCUACGCCUAGACUGCGACGGCCGCCACCGUUGGGAUGAUUCCUACCAAACAGUCGUGUUAGUCCAACUUCAUCGAGUACGGCGCUGACUUGUGGAGUCCGAACAAUUCGUCCGGCAAGCGAAAGUACUCGCGCGAUCAGCUGAUACCGCUCAAGAAUGCGGCAAGAAUGCGGCUCACGAAAAACCGGCUGGAUCUUCGUAAUUGGUCUAAACCAUGGAGGAGGUGCCAACGGGAUGGGCAUGGAUUAGCAUCUACGAGAUGCUUUUGCCGACGUUCAUCAAGGAUUGCAUGAGAGAUGGGGGCGGAGGAGGAGGAGGCGGUGUGAACAUGGGCCAAAUGAGACAACAACACAUGCCGAAACUAACGUCCGGAUCGCAGCCAAACAAACAAUCUCAGCAGGGCAUGAAUCUGGUGGAGAUAAUAAGCGUGAACGAGAACAAACGGACCGCCCACAUGUUGUCCCUCAGCAAUUGCACUCGACAGGGUUUUCGUCGUCGUUAAUUUAGUGUAACAUACUAAGAGAAGCGCCCGUCGCUACUGAGCCUGAAACAAGAAAUGAACUCCACACCUGCCUGCGCCAUCAACCGAGACAACACCAAGCACCAAUCCAGCAACGGCCUCCACCGUAACAAUGAUCCCGACGUGGACUGGAGGAAAGCAAAGUACUCGCGUGAUCAGCUCAAGAAUGCUGCACCGGCUCGCAAAAAGUCCGUGAAUCUGCGCAACAGUUUGGAAAAGAUGCUGCAGCCGACAUUGAUAAAAAAAAAUUGCAUGGGAGGUGGUAGCGGAAGAGGAGAAAGUGGUGGCAACAUGGGCCAAAUGAGACAACUAAACAUGCUGUAACGAGCACCCCGCGGGUCAUCAGCGGCCAAGUUCGGUUCGCAGUUAAACAGACAAUCCCAGCAGGGCAUGAAUCUGCUGCUGGAGUUUACUAUGAAAAUUCUGGUUCAAAGACGAUGCAACCGCGCGUCGAACGUCUCAACCCCCUGUAGUUGCCAGAACGCGAAUCUACUCGCCGAACUGAGAUGGGACCGUCGCCUUGGCGCACUGCCGGUCCCAAAACAUCUGCAAACGUGGUCAAAUACAAUACGUAGAAGGAAACCGUGCUGGACGCCAAGAACUGGAAGCGUUCCGAAAGAACCGAUGCCGGCCGCUGUACACUCCCGGCGUCUAUGACAAAUUGGACAAGGAGACCCUGGCCAAAGAAACGCCUGAACCGACGGAACACCUUCUUCAAUCCGCCGGCCAACUCCUUCAGCACCUUCUUGGCAACCGACCAAACUCCACUGGGAGCGUCAGACAAAUCGCGCGUGCAAGAAAAGUAAAUUUAUUUUCUUCAAAAAGUGCCAACCCAUUGUAAAAUAAUCUAGAUAAAUUAAAAUGAUUAAUUAAUGCCAAAAACAACUAAUUUUAAUUGAAACAUAACCUAGAAAUCCGAAAUUACAGCGCACG